GGCAAAACCCAUGCUUGGGACACUUUUUGGCUCUCAAAUUUUGAGGAUGUAAUCUCUAUAACCCACAGAAUAAUAUUAGCAAAAACAAAUUUCGUAUUAAGCUUUCAAGGCGUUAGAAAGAACUUAUGCCUCAAGAUUGAAUAGAGACUGCCCCAUUUUUGCAGGGCUAGAUCUAAGUUUCAUAAAAUUCAAGUUUCAAAUCUUUUCUUUUAAAAAUAAUUCUAGUAAUUUCUAUAUAGUUCCCAAAAUUUUAAACUAAAAAAUAAAAUUAGCUAGGCGAAGCAGAUGCAUAGCGUGCUCCCGCACGAGCAUAGUCCGUGUGCUCAUAGAAGUAUAUUUUCUUUUCGCAUCUAGUAAACUGCUAGGUUUCUACCUAUUUUCCAAGUAACGAAUCUCCACCUCGCCUUUUUCCAACCUUCCCAUUCUUUCCUUUUAUCUGGAAGUUGAUUCUUUUAUUAUAUGAUUGUAAAAGUUCUUAUUAAUCCUUGUUUUGUAUUGUUUGAUUAAGGGAGGAGAUGGUGAAAGGCCUCCAUCAACUCACAUCCCUUCAACACUCAUUCGGCCUUGUUUGGGCUCAAUCAAUUCAUCCUCCCAGUUUUAACACUCAUUAGGCCUUGUUUGGGCCCAAUCAAGAGGGGAUGAACAUGUUAGAGAUAAAUUUGAUAAAUGGUAAGCAUCACCUCACAUUUUAUAAAAUCUAGCGGAUUCUUUGAUAUGAAAUACCCGAGAGACUCCCAGUUGUGGACAACAAGGUCUUUCAUAACCCCUUCAUCGUUACUUUUCUCAAAAUUGAGAAUGGGCUGAAACCUUGACGAUAGUACUAAUGAAUUCUAUGAUGAAAUUUUUGACUCCAAUCUCAUCAAAAUAUAGGGGCUCAAAUCUCCAAUUACUUUUUUUUUACUUUCCUCACAAUCAUCACCUUUUGAUAGACUCAAAAGAGCUAGAAAUGACCCCUCUAACACUAUGGUGUUGGCAAUAUGGGAAGUUUCAAUCUUAAAACAUUAUUACAUGUGCUUAAACUUUUAUGGUGACUCUUUGCCCCACAAGAGUAUUCCCUUAUAUUGCUUAACUCCAGCAAAGGGGAGUAUUUGUGCUCAGCCAUUUCAAAAUUGAAAAGGCUGCAUCAUUGUCACUCUCGCCCAUUUUCAAGGUGAUUACAAUAGAUCUAUGAGGAAUUCAAGAGUGAAAACAAAUCAUAGAAAAAAAAAAAAUUUGAUAUCUUCUCCACCCUUGAAACCCUCGAUAUAGUCAUGAAUCCAUGAUCAAACUUCUUCAAAACAAUUCUCAAACUAAUAGCAAUCAACAACCCAACCAACAACUAGAUCAAACCGACAAUUUCUUUAAAACAAAAAUUUCACCAAUUCUUUUUUUGUUAUUCACCUCUUCGUUUGAUCCAAAAACCGCCGGGGGGUGGGGAGGGGCUGGUUGUUUAGAUUACAAAAAUACCCAUGCUCUUGGGCAUUAUUUUUAGCCACGAGCCAUGCAGCACAUGUGAAAUUUGCGAUAUACAGCAUACGCAAUGGGGUAUGGCGCAUAUGCCGACGCAUCCCACCAAAGCGCAUAUGUGCCCCUAUGCAAUGUGUUUGGGGCUGCAUAGUGCAUUAUACAUCCGCAUAUGCCGUGAUACGGGGUAUCCUCAACAAUACAGCCUAAUGACAUCCAUGUGGUAGAAAACCCAUUUCAAUUUUGGCUAAGGAAAUUCUGAAAAACCUGUAAGCCUAAAUCUUAGGAACCAUACUGGCUAGUCCACCAUAGCUUGUAAUCGACAGCCAAUCCAACCUAAUCCAAACCAGCAGACAAAGAUAUAUAAACCUAGAAAAACAUGAAUUAGACAAGUAAAAUAUAGGUCAAAAUCAAAUCAGUCUGUCACCCAAGGGCAUAAAAGACUUUCCAGCUACAACAUGUAAAGAAAC
rnacentral:lncRNA from 1 species